GAUGAAGAACGUAGCGAAAUGCGAUAAGUAGUGUGAAUUGCAGAAUUCAGUGAAUCAUCGAAUCUUUGAACGCACAUUGCGCCCUUUGGUAUUCCUUAGGGCAUGCCUGUUCGAGCGUCAUUUAAACCUUCAAGCUCAGCUUGGUGUUGGGUGACUGUCCGCUUCACCGCGGACUCGCCUCAAAAUUAUUGGCGGCCGGUACAUUGGCUUCGAGCGCAGCAGAAACGCGAACUCGGGCCCGUCGUAUUGGCUCCCAGAAGCUAUCUUCACAAUUUUGACCCCGGAUCAGGUAGGGAUACCCGCUGAACUUAAGCAUAUCAAUAAGGGAGGA
rnacentral:misc_RNA from 1 species